rnacentral:rRNA from 1 species
AAUGAACGUUGGCGGCAUGGUUUAGGCAUGCAAGUCGAGCGAGAAAGUCCUUCGGACGAGUACAGCGGCGAAAGGGUGAGUAAUAUAUAGGUAACCUACCUCUUGGACUCGGAUAAUUCCUGGAAACGGGUUGUAAUACGAGAUCGUCCUAUUGGGUCGCAUGGCCCGACUGGUAAAUGGUAGCUCUGCUUCUGCCGAGAGAGGGGCCUAUAUCCUAUUAGCUAGUUGGUGAGGUAAUGGCUCACCAAGGCUUUGAUGGGUAGCCGGACUGAGAGGUUGGCCGGUCACACUGGGACUGAGACACUGCCCAGACUCCUACGGGAGGCUGCAGUCGAGAAUCUUCCGCAAUGGGCGAAAAGCCUGAC